rnacentral:rRNA from 1 species
AACGGCCGUACCAUGCUGAAUAUACCGGUUCUCGUUAGAUCACCGAAGUUAAGCAUCAUUGGGCGCAGUCAGUACUUGGGUGGGUGACCACCUGGGAACACUGCGUGCC